rfam:Dendroctonus ponderosae Seq01031752, whole genome shotgun sequence.
AAUUGCGUCGUGGGACUCUAUCUGUGACCUGUGUGUUUCUGAAUCACAUCACAGGCAGAGUUCUAGCUCCGCAU